UACGUAGGGUGCGAGCGUUAAUCGGAAUUACUGGGCGUAAAGCGUGCGCAGGCGGUUCGUUAAGUCAGAUGUGAAAGCCCCGGGCUCAACCUGGGAACUGCAUUUGAAACUGGCGGGCUUGAGUAUGGCAGAGGGGGGUGGAAUUCCGCGUGUAGCAGUGAAAUGCGUAGAGAUCGGAAAGAACACCAACGGCGAAAGCACUCUGCUGGGCCGACACUGACACUGAGAGACGAAAGCUAGGGGAGCGAAUGGG
rnacentral:rRNA from 1 species